UUAUAAUAGAAUAGAACCCCUAUAUUUAUAGGAAGGUGGUGACUUAGCCACCAAGUAGUAAACCCUAGAAUCUCUAAAUAUAGACAUUCACCUUAAAUACGAUUCUAUUUAUAACAUGCCUAUUAAACACAAAUUUGAUAAUUCCAAACCAACACUAAUACGUGAAUCUCAUUCUCUUUUAAAAUAGAGACCAAAACUAAUAACAAAAAUUACAUAUCAGCAAAAUUAAAAUGGGCAAUAUUAAAAAUAAUCUAACCCAAAAUAGAAAGAGAAAAACAGAGUUGAUGGCCGAGGAUACCAUCACCAGCAGAAUAAGUUAUCGACCAACUUUAGCUUCAACACAUCUAAAAUGAAAGCUUUUUUGUAUUCAAAUCGCGAUGAAUGACAUUCCAUGACAGGUUGUCAUUAACUUGUCUAUUAAUCCUUCAUUUGCUUCGAUUCCUCUUCCAAAAACAAACUUUUACCUAGAUUAAAAUGUGGUUGUGGUGGUGUGCGCAUAGAUCUGAUAAAAGGGAGGAAAUAGCAGUGAUAAUGGUCAAGUUUGAUAAGGAACAAGGUAGUGAUAAUAGUUAUCCUACGUGAAGAAGGAAGAGUCAGUGGUGGUGAUGAUGUGCCAGCAACGCCGAAUCUGAAGACGAAAAAAUAAUUGUGAUGUUAGUGGUCGAAUUUGAAGAAGAAAGAGGUGAUGAUGAUGAUGGCAAUGGUCGAAUCUAAAGGAGCAAGAAGAUUCGGUGACUAAGGUGGUCGCCGUCCAGAUCUGAAAAAAAGGAGGUAAGCGGUGGAGAUGGCCAGAGAAGAAGCAAAUAGGUUAAAAAUGAUGUAGAAAAAAAGGUAACUGUGGGAGAUUACUUCUCUGGCCAAAAACUAUGCAUUUGUCGGUGACUAAUUUACAAGAUUAGCUUUGUUUUUAAUUGGAAUAAUGUUCAUCUAAGAAACACCUCUAAAUUUAAAUAUCUCCGUAUGUAUUAAGCCUUAAGUUUUCAGUACUAGUGGCAUAGAUAAGAUUUUUCAGAUUCCAAAUUGAGAGUGCUUCUCCUUGUAUGGCGAACUUGAAAUAGUCGAGCCAUAAAUUCGAGAUACCUAAAUGUGAUAAAGAUGAAUGAGAUUCUUCAUUCUUAAUAAGAAAGUUCGUAUACAAGUUUAAAUUAGC
rnacentral:lncRNA from 1 species